rnacentral:tRNA from 1 species
CUCUAAGCAUGGCAAAGUGGUCUGAGUAUUGGACUACGACUCUGGAGACCAGGGUUCGAUUCCCAGCUUGGCUA